UACGGAGGGUGCGAGCGUUGUCCGGAAUCAUUGGGCGUAAAGGGCGCGUAGGUGGCCCGGUCAGCGUGCGGUGAAAGCUCGGGGCUCAACCCCGAGUCGGCCGUGCGAACUGCUGGGCUUGAGCACUGUAGAGGCAGGCGGAAUUCCGGGUGUAGCGGUGGAAUGCGUAGAGAUCCGGAAGAACACCCGUGGCGAAGGCGGCUCUCUGGGACGGUACUGACGCUGAGACGCGAAAGCGUGGGGAGCGAACAGG
rnacentral:rRNA from 1 species